rnacentral:misc_RNA from 1 species
AAUCAUCAACCCUCCAAACUUUCGUAAGGAGAGGCUUGGUCUUGAGGGUCCUGUAGGCGCUUUGGUGUCUGCUCCCUUUAAAUGCAUUAGUGAGACUUCCCUUUGCUGACCGUCUCAUGGCGUGAUAAUUAUCUGCGUCAGACAGUGCGGUUCUCGUUGGGCUCGCUUCUAAUCGUCUUCGGACAAUGGACUCUGAGUGCAUAUAUGCGCUUGGUUUCUGAACC